rnacentral:rRNA from 1 species
AUGGGCCUUAUUUGGUUUCACGAGUUAGAUAGAUCCCUCCCCAGUUCCUCGAAGCUUCUCGUCCUCUCCCUCCCUCCCUCUCGCAUCGCCUCUGAAGGCGCCUCGCCGUAUCCGCGCUCCCAUCUACCGUCGGUAAGCAACCCCGCCCUAUCCUCCCAUUCCAACCCCCUCGUUUUCCCGCUGCCUGUCCGCCCACCGGUAAGCAGUCGCGGCUCCUUGCGCGGCCCGUCCCCGUCGGCCUCGGCCAGCGCGACUCCUUGCACAGGGACAACGGAUUCGGUCGGCGGGCUGCGCAAGAGGCCAGCGCAGCUCCUUGCCGGGCGUGUCCCCCAGUCUGGACAGGAAGUUAUUUUUGAGUGGGUGCAGUGGCUGGAGAGUUCUACGCUCUCUCAUCUUGGUUUUGAUGGCGGGAUAAUCAUACACAAGUCUGAUAGUACGAUGGCUCCUGUGGAUGCUCGUGUUACUGGAGAGAUUCUGUCUGUAGAGGAUGUUGUUCAACAGUUGAUCAGCUAUGAUGAAGAGCAAUGCCUUGAAACAUUUCGUCGUGGCCUCCAUGUCUACACAAUUUGUUUCAGUGAGCACCCAGUUUCUAUAAUUGCAACAUUAGCACAAUUAAUCAUGUUCAUGUGUCAUGCUGCUGAGGUGCAUGGAGACAUACUCAAAGUUGCAUGUCAAGGAUCAGUCCUGAAAUUGGUGUGCCCUGAUGACAAAUGUGGAUGUUCUAUUCCUCCUAAACUAUUGAAGAAGUUGCUUGGAGAUGCAGGUUUUGAACGGUGGGAAAGAUUGGUAUUUCAGAAGACUCUAGACUCAAGGGCUGAUGUAGCUUACUGUCCAAGAUGUGAAACAGCUUGCCUGGCAGAUGAGGACAGCGCCCAGUGCUCCAAUUGCCUCUUCACCUUCUGCGUCCGCUGCAGAAAUCGUCGCCACGUAGGGGAGAGAUGCAUGACUCCAGAAGAAAAACUUAUUUCUGUACAGAAGAGCACAUCAUUUUACUUUAAGGUUAUUGCAAAACAUGGUGCCAUUUCCAGCAAGAUGGCAUUCCAAGAGCGUGAGAAGGCACGCAACUUGAGCAAAGGCAAUGCUGGACGUAAAGUCUCUGCGAGUGAUAUAUUUAGCAUCAAGGAAAUACUCCGUUCUUCUGUUAUGUGCCCGCAUUGUGGCUUUGCCAUCUCACGUGUGUCAGGCUGCGACCAGAUGCUUUGCAGAAACUGUGAGAAGUCGUUCUGUUAUGCCUGUGGCAAGCCAUCAAGUCAAGGUCAUACAAGUGAACAAUGCAAAAUCGAUAGGGAGAAGCUGAGAGUGAAGGUGGAGGUGAAUGAUGUCGUCAGAAACAUGCAGAAAGAGCUGAAACUGGCACUGUCCAGAGCGCAUCUGUGCCCGGGUUGCCGCCAGCCGAAUUUCAAGCAAGUUGGGAACAACAACCACAUCUUCUGCAAGACAUGCCGGGUUCACUACUGCGCUCUGUGCCACACGGUGGUGCGCAAGAGCACGGAGCACUACGGCCCCCAAGGGUGCAAGCAGCACACCGUCGACCCCGACUUUGUCUAG